rnacentral:rRNA from 1 species
UAGGGUUCGAUUCCGGAGAGGGAGCCUGAGAAACGGCUACCACAUCUAAGGAAGGCAGCAGGCGCGCAAAUUACCCAAUUCUAACAGCAUAAGAGAGGUAGUGACAAGAAAUAACAAUACAAGGCAGUUAAAAUGCUUUGUAAUUGGAAUGAUAGAAAUUUAAAAACUUUUUAAAGUAUCAAUUGGAGGGCAAGUCUGGUGCCAGCAGCCGCGGUAAUUCCAGCUCCAAUAGCGUAUAUUAAAAUUGUUGCAGUUAAAAAGCUCGUAGUUGAAUUUCUGCUAAAAAUAACCGGUCUGCUUUUAAUAAAGGUGGUAUCUUGGUGUGUUUUUAGCAAUAAUGUCCUUUGAAAUGUUUUUUACUUCAUUGUAAUAAAUUAUAUUUAGGAUUUUUACUUUGAGAAAAUUAGAGUGUUUCUAGCAGGCUAAUGCUUUGAAUACUGCAGCAUGGAAUAAUAAAAUAGGAUUUUGGUUCUACAUUAUUGGUU